rnacentral:rRNA from 1 species
GGUUAAGUUACUAAGGGCGCACGGUGGAUGCCUUGGCAGUCGAACCGAUGAAGGACGUGGCUACCUGCGAUAAGCCUCGGUGAGCUGGAAGCAAGCUUUGACCCGAGGAU